CCUACGGGGGGCAGCAGUGGGGAAUAUUGCGCAAUGGGGGAAACCCUGACGCAGCGACGCCGCGUGAGCGAAGAAGGCCUUCGGGUUGUAAAGCUCUGUUGUAAGGGACGAAUGUCGCGAUCAAUAAUACGGAUUGCGAAUGACGGUACCUUACCAGCAAGCCCCGGCUAACUACGUGCCAGCAGCCGCGGUAAGACGUAGGGGGCGAGCGUUGUCCGGAAUUACUGGGCGUAAAGAGCACGUAGGCGGGACCUUAAGUCAGGUGUGAAAGACCGCGGCUCAACCGCGGGGUUGCACCUGAAACUGGGGUUCUUGAGGGCAGGAGAGGAAAGCAGAAUUCCUGGUGUAGCGGUGAAAUGCGUAGAAAUCAGGAGGAAUACCAGUGGCGAAGGCGGCUUUCUGGACUGACCCUGACGCUGAGGUGCGAAAGCGUGGGGAGCAAACAGGAUUAGAUACCCCGGUAGUC
rnacentral:rRNA from 1 species